rnacentral:lncRNA from 1 species
GCAAUGGUUAUAGACUCAAUGGUUAUAGACUCAAAGGUAAGAGUUGAUACUCUGGAGCUGGAGCGGUGGCGUUUGGAGCAGACACGAAACUGGAUGGCUUCUACAGGGAGCCAGGCCUCUGAUAUAGACAAGAUUUUUGGAUUCUUCAAUGAUGGCGAACCCCCAACCAGAAAGCCCAGGAAGCUACUUCCAAGCUUGAAAACCAGGAAACCUCGAGAACUUGUGCUAGUGAUUGGAACUGGCAUUAGUGCUGCAGUUGCACCGCAAGCCCCAGCCCUGAAAUCCUGGAAGGGGUUAUUUCAGGCCUUGCUUGAUGCUGCUAUUGAUUUUGAUCUUUUAGAAGAUGAGGAAAGCAAAAAGUUUCAGAAGUAUCUCCAUGGAGACAAGAACCUCGUCCAUGUUGCCCAUGACCUCAUUCAGAAACUCUCCCUUCAUACCAGUAAUGUUCGAUACACAUUUUUCAAAGACUGUUUAUAUGAAGUAUUUGAUGACCUGGAGUCAAAGAUGGGAGAUUCUGGAAAACAGCUCCUUCAGUCUGUUCUCCAUCUGAUGGAAAAUGGAGCUCUAAUAUUAACUACAAAUUUUGAUAAUCUUCUAGAACUAUAUGCAGCUGACCAGGGAAAACAGCUUGAAUCCCUCGACCUUACUGAUGAGAAAAAGAGAGAGAUUCAGAAACUCUAUGAAAACAAGUCAUUUCUUUUCUUAGGUUGUGGCUGGACGGUGGACAACACCACUUUCCAGGCCCUGUUCCUAGAGGCUGUCAAGCAUAAAUCUGACUUAGAACAUUUCAUGCUGGUUCGGAGAGGAGAUGUAGUGAGUUCAAGAAGCUUCGAGAAAACAUGCUGGAUGAGGGGAUUAAAGUCAUCUCCUAUGGGAAUGACUAUGCUGAUCUUCCAGAAUAUUUCAAGCAACUGACAUAUGAGAUCUCCACAAGAGGCAGACCAGGGAUGGCAAGAGAAGGCCAUCUAAAUGGUUCAUCUGCAGCACACAGGGAAAUAAGAGGCUGUAGUACAUGAGCAAGCUGGAGAAAUCACCAUUAGACCCCGCUGUGGGGCCUUCCUGUGGAUGUGGAUGUGUUUACCAAGCAAACAUACAAGAACUCAGCACAGCUC